GGAUUGGGAGGGUUCUACGGAACCCGUUUGGUGAAUCUAGUGCCGAGAAAAGCCUUCUAUGUGUUGAAUUUCUAGUACCCGUACCCCAAACCGACACAGGUGGGUGGGUAGAGCAUACCUAGGGGCGCGUGAUAACUCUCUCUAAGGAACUCGGCAAAAUGGCCCUGUAACUUCGGGAUAAGGGGUGCCUGCGUGAGCAGGCCGCAGUGAAAUGGCUCUGGCCACUGUUUACCAAAAACACAGGUCUCUGCUAAGUCGUAAGACGAUGUAUAGGGGCUGACUCCUGCCCAGUGCCGGAAGGUUAAGGAAGUUGGUUAGCGCAAGCGAAGCUGGCGACCGAAGCCCCGGUGAACGGCGGCCGUAACAAUAACGGUCCUAAGGUAGCGAAAUUCCUUGUCGGGUAAGUUCCGACCUGCACGAAAGGAGUAACGAUCAGAGCGCUGUCUCGGAGAGAGACACGGCGAAAUAGGAUUGUCCGUGAAGAUACGGACUACCUGCACCCGGACAGAAAGACCCUAUGAAGCUUUACUGUAACUUGGAAUUGUGUUCGGACUUUGUCUGCGCAGAAUAGGUGGGAGGCUAUGAAACGUUCCUCGCGGGGAACUGGAGCCAUCGUUGAGAUACCACUCUGGCAGAGUCUGGAUUCUAACCUACGGGGACAGUUCCAGGUGGGCAGUUUGACUGGGGCGGUCGCCUCCUAAAAUGUAACGGAGGCGCGCAAAGGUUCCCUCAGGCUGGUUGGAAAUCAGCCAUAGAGUGUAAAAGCAUAAGGGAGCUUGACUGUGAGACCUACAAGUCGAGCAGGGACGAAAGUCGGCUUUAGUGAUCCGACGGCACUGAGUGGAAGGGCCGUCGCUCAACGGAUAAAAGUUACUCUAAGGAUAACAGGCUGAUCUCCCCCAAGAGUUCACAUCGACGGGGAGGUUUGGCACCUCGAUGUCGGCUCGUCGCAACCUGGGGCGGUAGUACGUCCCAAGGGUUGGGCUGUUCGCCCAUUAAAGCGGCACGUGAGCUGGGUUCAGAACGUCGUGAGACAGUUCGGUCCAUAUCCGGUGUAGGCGUAGGAGCAUUGAAAGGAUCUCUCCUUAGUACGAGAGGACCGGGAGGGACGUACCUCUGGUGUACCUGUUAUCGUGCCAACGGUAAACGCAGGGUAGCCAUGUACGGAGUGGAUAACCGCUGAAAGCAUCUAAGUGGGAAGCCCACCUUAAGAUGAGUGCUCCCUUGAGGCCACGGGAAGACGACCCGUUUGAUAGGCGCUAGGUGGAAGUGCAGUAAUGCAUGCAGCCGAGGCGUACUAAUAGGCCGAUGGCUUG
rnacentral:rRNA from 1 species